CAAGAUUUCUGUUAACCCACAAUUCACCACUAGACUUGAAAUUUAACUCACUCUUAGCCACGUGCUGCUUCAGUGUGAGCGAACCUACACAGAAACACAAUGUUCUGCUGCAGAGAAGGGGGAGAAAGCGACACCGCUUCGUUCAGUGGAGUUACAAACCUUAACUGAGGUACCAAGGCCAAACCCCUCUGCAUUUAAAUGGAGUAAAGGGAAAUGUGUUGUGAGACACCGAGUUUACACCACAAUGGCCGUUAGAGCAGGGACUUGGACCCAGGCCUGCUCUCUUGGAGCGGUACAAAAUUUCCACCCGUUGCUGGCAGAUCCAGCGCCCCAGGGGGAGGCAGCACAGAGACCCCUCACACCGGCCGAGGUCGUGAGGCAGCGGCAGCGGGUACAAGUGGGGUUUCUGGCCCUUUGCACCCCCCUGCCUGCAGCAGAUAGCUCACCCACCUCCUCCUGCCGCCGGGAAUGCGUCCUACAGCACGGAGCCGUACAAGCGGAAUAUUUGACAAAGCUCAGCUCUGAAGGGCCCUGUAGACCUUUGCUGGCUGGCAGAGUGCAUGCAGCUCACACCCGGGAGGCCAAACACACCAGGCCUCCUCGAGCUGACUUGGGAAUUAUUUACAGGUCUCCUACACCCUCCCUGAAGGAUUUAUGCACCAACCCACUGGGUUGAAAGCAGGCAACCACACCCUCUGAGUUUUUGUGAAGUCCAGCUGAGGAAAGAUCCUCAGGAAAAAUCUACUAGACCAGAGAAAACAGUGCCUCCUAGGUAGUGUCAGCCCAAAACACCACCCAGUUAUAAUGUGGGGUUUACUGAUAUUCUUUUUUUGCAAGCAGUAAGUGUGUUUAGAGCAUCAUUUGGUUCACAGGCAAAGGAAGGGUGAUCUCAAUUUCAAAGAGAACGUGCAUUUUACUUCUGAGUCACAGAUACGCAAUUACAUGUGUGAAAAAAAAAUGAGAAUAAUACAGGUGACUACAUUUAGCCCUUGCUAUCUCAGAGGAAGAUAAACUUUCUCAUUCACUGUCAGGGGAGUAACUUAGAUGUGCCUGGCUUUGCCAACCUCCCUUUUCCCUGUGUGAAUUAUUUCUCCUGUGGCUCAUGAGGUGUUUCCAGAAUGACCUGCACACAGCUAGAUCAAACUCCUGUUACCAUUUCAUGUUUUCCAUUCAAGACUGCCAUUUCUAACGGUUUUACUUCAUUUUCAAGAACUCUAAUUGGGUUUGUAAAACACUGUUUUUCCUCUGAGUUAAGACCAAAAAGACAGUCAUCUCUCUGAUCAACGCCUCUGAGGUUUCCAAGAGAACAUGUGCUGAAAUCCCAAAGGCAGUUUUAUGGUGUGAAUUCAAGACACUUUUUAUUUCUAAUAAGAAAGCUAUAUGACUUCCAAUAUUCAUAAAGCAUUGUUACCACCUAAGAGUUUGAAGUACAAUUUGCCCUUCAUGCAGAUAGAGAUUGGAAGCACAGAUUAAGGGGAAAAAAAACCCAAACAAAUGAUAGGAUAAUGCUAGUAAUAGAAGUUUUAAUUUUAAAAAAGGAGAUCAUUUGAAGGGGAAAGAUAAAUUGUAUUGACAAAGAAAAUUGAGUUUUACUAAAAUGAUGUCUUCAUUUAUCAUGUAAGUUUUACUAAGAACAAGCUAGAAAAGUGAUUAGAGUAGACGUGAUCAAAAUUGUUACUGAGAUUUGGCAAGGUGGCAGAUCUUUAUCUGACACCUAAAACAUGAUCAAGAAUCAAAAGCAAAUGUUACAAAUAUGGAAUUUGAUGCGUUUCUAGGCAGAGGACCAGAUCCUGUCCUGCAUAAAGGAAAAACUAUUAAACUAGCUCAGCUCUGACAUCUAAGGGGCUGAUUGCCACUGUGGUCCCCCAGCAACAGUUCUGCAUACUGAUUUUUGAGGAUCUUUACCAUCAAUUUAGGACUUGGAGGAAGGCUCCUUAAGGCUUCAUCUGUAUUUGUUCAUUAAACUUACCCAGGACCAUUCUCUGGCACAGGGACCAGCUGGCAGGGGACGGCCUCUUCCUCCACAGGUGACCAUGCAAUUCGAAUUUAGCAUCUGUGUGCAGAUACAGAAAGGCCUUUAGAAUGUGAUUUACUAUCUGUCUGGGACAAAGGAUGCUUCUCAAUUAAGCACUUGGUUAAGGACUCUGUUGUCUUAAUAUAAUCACCACAAUGGUGAUAGAGAAGUAAAAAAAUUCUAUAUCAUGUAGCCAGUUCACUCAGUCUUCCAGGCAGUGAUUUUUAUUCUAACGUAAAUCAAAAGAGUGACUAACCCACCCUCUCCCUCUCCUGAGAAGGUAGACGUGUCACCUGGGAAAAAACCCGUAACUUCACUUUCCCCUUCCAUUGCAAAUGAGUUUUCUUAGCCUAAUUGACUUCAUGUGUUUUUAUGCCCUUCCUGUUUUUAACAGCCAGUCAAAAUGAAACCACUUCUGGGCUAAAAUUAAUGGUAAGUCACAGGUAAUGAAGAAUCUGUACUUCAGACACUCCCACAAUGAAUGAAAGAGCUUCACUGAGAAGGGUAUAGAAGUAAUAAACUUGUAAUAAAUGUCAGAAAGAUGUGAGCCCUUUAUUGGAAAAAAAACCUCAUGUACUGCUUUUAACAACUGAAGCUGUCAGUUAUAUAAAUGAUAAUGUGCGUUGAGGGAAAGUAAGCUAUAAAUCCUUUACCUCUGAAAUGAAAUUUUAUCAAACUUCAGGAAAUAGGUUGAUGACAAAAUUAAUUCUCUGGUAAUGCCAAAUAUAGACACAUCUGGCUAUCAGUGUUUUGAAUUCAGGGCAAAAAGGGUUUUCCUAAAUAUUUCCUUGCAUCACAAGCGCCUUGCAUCUAAAAGCGCCUGUGUCCUUUUGAUCAUCCUCACCCUCACACUGAAAACAGUUCUGGAAUAUUAUUUUUACCAUCACUGAGUG